GACGAACGCUGGCGGCGUGCUUAACACAUGCCAGUCGAACGGAAAGGCCCCUUUGGGGGUACUCGAGUGGCGAACGGGUGAGUAACACGUGAGUAACCUGCCCUUGACUUCGGGAUAACUUCAGGAAACUGGGGCUAAUACCGGAUAGGAAUCCUUGCUGCAUGGUGGGGGUUGGAAAGCUUCGGCGGUUUUGGAUGGACUCGCGGCUUAUCAGCUUGUUGGUGGGGUAGUGGCUUACCAAGGCUUUGACGGGUAGCCGGCCUGAGAGGGCGACCGGCCACAUUGGGACUGAGAUACGGCCCAGACUCCUACGGGAGGAAGCAGUGGGGAAUAUUGCACAAUGGGCGGAAGCCUGAUGCAGCAACGCCGCGUGCGGGAUGACGGCCUUCGGGUUGUAAACCGCGUUCAGCAGGGGCGAAGCUUGUGGUGACGGUACCUGCAGAAGAAGCACCGGCUAACUACGUG
rnacentral:rRNA from 1 species